rnacentral:lncRNA from 1 species
AUGUCGAUCCUGACCUUCUCUUUUGAAGGUAUCGACUUCCUUGUUAAAUGUCGACGCCUAUCCCCUUUUCCUGGGAAUGUCGAACAUGCUUUCCUGCGGAAUGUCGACCUGACCUUCUCUUUUGAAGGUAUCGACUUCCUUGUUAAAUGUCGACGCCUAUCCCCUUUUCCUGGGAAUGUCGAACAUGCUUUCCUGCGGAAUGUCGACCUGACCUUCUCUUUUGAAGGUUUCGACUUCCUUGUUAAAUGUCGACGCCUAUCCCCUUUUCCUGGGAAUGUCGAACAUGCUUUCCUGUGGAAUGUCGAAGGUUUUUCUGAAAUGUCGAGGGAUCUUCUUGAAAUGUCGAUGCCAUUUAGUUGGGUUUUGGGGUUUUUCACGGACUGGACCGUCGUGGGCCUGCCGGGCACGUGGGCUUCUCGGCCCAACGGGUCGACCCGGAUGAACAGUGCUCGCGACGGUUCGUAUUCGACUUUCCCCUAUAAAUAGCGGAGGGGUGUUCACUUCCUCUCCACUUGUUUCCAUCGCUCUGAGGCAUCGACUUUCUUCACAUCGACUUCUUCGCUUCGACUUCCAGCUUCUUCGCUUCGACUUCCAGCGUGCGUGAGGCUUCGACUUUAGCCUUGGAGGUGCAGCUUUCUGGGGUCCGACUUUUGUUAUCGGGCUCUACCGAGGCUGCACUGGGUUCGACUUCCU